AUCACAUGGAAUCUUGUUAAAAUGCAGAUUCUGAUUCAGGAUGUCUGGGGUGGGGACUAAGAUUCUGUACUUCUAAAAAGUUCCUAGGUGAUGCUGA
rnacentral:pre_miRNA from 1 species